UGUAAGCAAAUUGUCUAUUAAAAGUCUUGCUCCUAUCAAAAACAUAAUACCGACUUUCUUGUAAAAUGUUUGAUUUGUUUGACGCAUCAAUGAAGUCAUUUUUCAAUUUGUCUUUUGUUAUCUUAAUAAAUGAAAAAAAACUGUUAAUUUUUGGUGUAAUUUUCGUUAAUUACCGUGGCAAUAAGAGAAUAAAUACACAGAAUCGUUUAUUGUUGCGUAUAGGUAUAAAUUAAAUCACUUUAUAUAUUCUUCUUUCCAACCUCUAUCCUAAAACAGUGAAACACCCUCAUCAGUAGAAUCGACCUUUUUUAUUUACUUUAGUUGAUAAUUUUCUUUUCUUUGCCAACGGGAG